rnacentral:misc_RNA from 1 species
AAAGUCGUAACAAGGUUUCCGUAGGUGAACCUGCGGAAGGAUCAUUAACACGUAUCCAUACGUAUUAUAUACCAAACCGUGAACUUGUUUGUAAUAAUUUGAAGGAAGAAGUGAAGUUAGCUAGACAAUAGCUAAUGAAUCGACUUUCUGUAUCUUAUUCAACCUUAUAAACCACUUGUAACCAAUCGAACUAAACCUAAGAAUAUGAAUCGAGUAAAAUCGAAGCAUAUUUUUGUAUUUACGAAACGUAAAAACAAUUCUUAGCAACGGAUAUCUUGGUUCUC